rnacentral:rRNA from 1 species
AUUGAACGCUGGCGGCAGGCCUAACACAUGCAAGUCGAACGGUAACAGGAAGCAGCUUGCUGCUUUGCUGACGAGUGGCGGACGGGUGAGUAAUGUCUGGGAAACUGCCCGAUGGAGGGGGAUAACUACUGGAAACGGUAGCUAAUACCGCAUAACGUCGCAAGACCAAAGAGGGGGACCUUAGGGCCUCUUGCCAUCGGCUGUGCCCAGAUGGGAUUAGCUAGUAGGUGGGGUAACGGCUCACCUAGGCGACGAUCCCUAGCUGGUCUGAGAGGAUGACCAGCCACACUGGAACUGAGACACGGUCCAGACUCCUACGGGAGGCAGCAGUGGGGAAUAUUGCACAAUGGGCGCAAGCCUGAUGCAGCCAUGCCGCGUGUAUGAAGAAGGCCUUCGGGUUGUAAAGUACUUUCAGCGGGGAGGAAGGGAGUAAAGUUAAUACCUUUGCUCAUUGACGUUACCCGCAGAAGAAGCACCGGCUAACUCCGUG